rnacentral:pre_miRNA from 1 species
GAAAUACUCUCUUCGUUUUAAAUUACUCGUCGCAGAAAUGGAUAUAUCUAGAACUAAAAUUCUAGAUAUAUCCAUACCUGCGACAAGUAAUUCGGAACGGAGGAAGUACAUA